rnacentral:rRNA from 1 species
UCUAAAUGUAAUUUUUAUUUCUAAAUUAGUAUUAGUUAAGUUCUUGAAAUUUAAAAAUUUUGGCGGUAUUUUAGUCUUUUCAGAGGAACCUGUUCUAUAAGUGAUAAUCCACGUUUAAUUGUACUUAAGUUAGAAAUUUGUAUAUCGUUGUAGUUUGAAUAUUCUAAAAGGAUUAAAUAUUCAAUAAAUUAAAUUUAAUUUAAAAUCAGAUCAAGGUGCAGUUUAUAUUUAAGAAGAAAUGGGUUACAAUAAAUUUAUUUAUGAAUUUUUUUUUGAAAAUUUAAUUGAAAUUGGAUUUGAAAGUAAUUAUAUUAUAUUUUUAUAAUGAUUAAGCUCUAAAAUAUGU